rnacentral:rRNA from 1 species
UACGAAGGGGGCUAGCGUUGCUCGGAAUCACUGGGCGUAAAGGGCGCGUAGGCGGCCAUUCAAGUCGGGGGUGAAAGCCUGUGGCUCAACCACAGAAUUGCCUUCGAUACUGUUUGGCUUGAGUAUGGCAGAGGUCAGUGGAACUGCGAGUGUAGAGGUGAAAUUCGUAGAUAUUCGCAAGAACACCAGUGGCGAAGGCGGCUGACUGGGCCAUUACUGACGCUGAGGCGCGAAAGCGUGGGAAGCAAACAGG